rnacentral:lncRNA from 1 species
GUCAUUUCUAUGUUAUAUUUAACAUUGCCAUUAAAGUGCGAGGUUUGGCAUGCCACAAAACCAGGUUCAACCCACCAUUUUUUCCUUUAAAAAUGUCCUGUACCAAGUCAGGAAUAUGGCCAUUGUUAUAUUAUAGUUCGUUUCUGUGUGUGUUACAAUUUAACGUUGCGUCGUUUGUUUUCUCUUAUUUUUUAGUGUAAAUUGACAUUGCGAUAAGACGUGUCACGGUACUUGUCUAUCCCAAAUUCAUGUAUUUGGUUUUGAUGUUAUAUUUGUUAUUCUCGUGGGAUUUUGUCUGAUGCUUGGUCCGUUUCUGUGUGUGUUAGUUACAUUGUAGUGUUGUGUCGUUGUUCUCCUCUUAUAUUUAUGCGUUUCCCUCAGUUUUAGUUUGUUUCCCCGAUAUUGUUUUUU